UACGUAGGGUGCAAGCGUUAAUCGGAAUUACUGGGCGUAAAGCGUGCGCAGGCGGCUCUGCAAGACAGAUGUGAAAUCCCCGGGCUUAACCUGGGAACUGCAUUUGUGACUGCAUGGCUGGAGUGCGGCAGAGGGGGAUGGAAUUCCGCGUGUAGCAGUGAAAUGCGUAGAUAUGCGGAGGAACACCGAUGGCGAAGGCAGCCCCCUGGGUUAACACUGACGCUCAGGCACGAAAGCGUGGGGAGCAAACAGG
rnacentral:rRNA from 1 species